GCCUCCACGUAAUGCAUUCUCCUCAGCCAGCAGCCCCUCGAGCUCCGGCGUCGCCCCGCCUGUUACCAACGUCCGGAUCAAGGAGAAGAUCUAUCCAUUCCUGGUGGAGUAAAGCCUUAAUGGACGGACGGACGGAUGGACACACACACACACACACAACAUAUUAUUACAAUAUUCAGCACUUUAUCAGAAGAUCCAAUCAGGCAUAACAGAAAAAACAAUACACUGGGGUUAUUUCAUCCUUUCCCAGCUAGUGGUAAACUUGCUGAGUGUAGCGUUGCUGUAUUCUUGUAACAGACCAAUAUUAGUUCAUAUAUAAUAGAUGUGACAUGCGGCUCAUUUUGUUUUCCUUUGACUGUGUGUGCAUGAAGAUGGAAACCUUUUACACACAUGCAGAAGAAGCAUGUACCCUGUGCAGCCAUGAAAGAAAAUAAAUGAUGCAAGAUUGAAUUCAAA